rnacentral:rRNA from 1 species
AUAGGGUCAAGUGAAUAAGUGCAUCAGGCGGAUGCCUUGGCGAUGAUAGGCGACGAAGGACGUGUAAGCCUGCGAAAAGCGCGGGGGAGCUGGCAAUAAAGCUAUGAUUCCGCGAUGUCCGAAUGGGGAAACCCACUGCAUUCUGUGCAGUAUCCUAAGUUGAAUACAUAGGCUUAGAGAAGCGAACCCGGAGAACUGAACCAUCUAAGUACCCGGAGGAAAAGAAAUCAACCGAGAUUCCGCAAGUAGUGGCGAGCGAACGCGGAGGAGCCUGUACGUAAUAACUGUCGAGAUAGAAGAACAAGCUGGGAAGCUUGACCAUAGCGGGUGACAGUCCCGUAUUCGAAAUCUCAACAGCGGUACUAAGCGUACGAAAAGUAGGGCGGGACACGUGAAAUCCUGUCUGAAUAUGGGGGGACCAUCCUCCAAGGCUAAAUACUCAUCAUCGACCGAUAGUGAACCAGUACCGUGAGGGAAAGGCGAAAAGAACCCCGGGAGGGGAGUGAAACAGAACCUGAAACCUGAUGCAUACAAACAGUGGGAGCGCCCUAGUGGUGUGACUGCGUACCUUUUGUAUAAUGGGUCAACGACUUACAUUCAGUAGCGAGCUUAACCGGAUAGGGGAGGCGUAGGGAAACCGAGUCUUAAUAGGGCGAUGAGUUGCUGGGUGCAGACCCGAAACCGAGUGAUCUAUCCAUGGCCAGGUUGAAGGUGCCGUAACAGGUACUGGAGGACCGAACCCACGCAUGUUGCAAAAUGCGGGGAUGAGCUGUGGGUAGGGGUGAAAGGCUAAACAAACUCGGAGAUAGCUGGUUCUCCCCGAAAACUAUUUAGGUAGUGCCUCGAGCAAGACACUGAUGGGGGUAAAGCACUGUUAUGGCUAGGGGGUUAUUGCAACUUACCAACCCAUGGCAAACUCAGAAUACCAUCAAGUGGUUCCUCGGGAGACAGACAGCGGGUGCUAACGUCCGUUGUCAAGAGGGAAACAACCCAGACCGCCGGCUAAGGUCCCAAAUGAUAGAUUAAGUGGUAAACGAAGUGGGAAGGCACAGACAGCCAGGAUGUUGGCUUAGAAGCAGCCAUCAUUUAAAGAAAGCGUAAUAGCUCACUGGUCGAGUCGUCCUGCGCGGAAGAUGUAACGGGGCUCAAAUCUAUAACCGAAGCUGCGGAUGCCGGUUUACCGGCAUGGUAGGGGAGCGUUCUGUAGGCUGAUGAAGGUGCAUUGUAAAGUGUGCUGGAGGUAUCAGAAGUGCGAAUGUUGACAUGAGUAGCGAUAAAGCGGGUGAAAAGCCCGCUCGCCGAAAGCCCAAGGUUUCCUACGCAACGUUCAUCGGCGUAGGGUAAGUCGGCCCCUAAGGCGAGGCAGAAAUGCGUAGUCGAUGGGAAACAGGUUAAUAUUCCUGUACUUGAUUCAAAUGCGAUGUGGGGACGGAGAAGGUUAGGUUGGCAAGCUGUUGGAAUAGCUUGUUUAAGCCGGUAGGUGGAAGACUUAGGCAAAUCCGGGUUUUCUUAACACCGAGAAGUGAUGACGAGUGUCUACGGACACGAAGCAACCGAUACCACGCUUCCAGGAAAAGCCACUAAGCUUCAGUUUGAAUCGAACCGUACCGCAAACCGACACAGGUGGGCAGGAUGAGAAUUCUAAGGCGCUUGAGAGAACUCGGGAGAAGGAACUCGGCAAAUUGAUACCGUAACUUCGGGAGAAGGUAUGCCCUCUAAGGUUAAGGACUUGCUCCGUAAGCCCCGGAGGGUCGCAGAGAAUAGGUGGCUGCGACUGUUUAUUAAAAACACAGCACUCUGCCAACACGAAAGUGGACGUAUAGGGUGUGACGCCUGCCCGGUGCCGGAAGGUUAAUUGAAGAUGUGCAAGCAUCGGAUCGAAGCCCCGGUAAACGGCGGCCGUAACUAUAACGGUCCUAAGGUAGCGAAAUUCCUUGUCGGGUAAGUUCCGACCCGCACGAAUGGCGUAACGAUGGCCACACUGUCUCCUCCCGAGACUCAGCGAAGUUGAAGUGGUUGUGAAGAUGCAAUCUACCCGCUGCUAGACGGAAAGACCCCGUGAACCUUUACUGUAGCUUUGCAUUGGACUUUGAAGUCACUUGUGUAGGAUAGGUGGGAGGCUUGGAAGCAGAGACGCCAGUCUCUGUGGAGUCGUCCUUGAAAUACCACCCUGGUGUCUUUGAGGUUCUAACCCAGACCCGUCAUCCGGGUCGGGGACCGUGCAUGGUAGGCAGUUUGACUGGGGCGGUCUCCUCCCAAAGCGUAACGGAGGAGUUCGAAGGUUACCUAGGUCCGGUCGGAAAUCGGACUGAUAGUGCAAUGGCAAAAGGUAGCUUAACUGCGAGACCGACAAGUCGGGCAGGUGCGAAAGCAGGACAUAGUGAUCCGGUGGUUCUGUAUGGAAGGGCCAUCGCUCAACGGAUAAAAGGUACUCCGGGGAUAACAGGCUGAUUCCGCCCAAGAGUUCAUAUCGACGGCGGAGUUUGGCACCUCGAUGUCGGCUCAUCACAUCCUGGGGCUGUAGUCGGUCCCAAGGGUAUGGCUGUUCGCCAUUUAAAGUGGUACGUGAGCUGGGUUUAAAACGUCGUGAGACAGUUUGGUCCCUAUCUGCAGUGGGCGUUGGAAGUUUGACGGGGGCUGCUCCUAGUACGAGAGGACCGGAGUGGACGAACCUCUGGUGUACCGGUUGUAACGCCAGUUGCAUAGCCGGGUAGCUAAGUUCGGAAGAGAUAAGCGCUGAAAGCAUCUAAGCGCGAAACUCGCCUGAAGAUGAGACUUCCCUUGCGGUUUAACCGCACUAAAGGGUCGUUCGAGACCAGGACGUUGAUAGGUGGGGUGUGGAAGCGCGGUAACGCGUGAAGCUAACCCAUACUAAUUGCCCGUGAGGCUUGACUCUAU